rnacentral:lncRNA from 1 species
UUUCACUCUUCUGCCCUCAACCCAAUCCAGCUCUGAGGCCAUAUGGCUGUAAGUAGGAAAAAGGAAAAAAUAAAAAAAACAUUAAAAAUUUGAGCCACAGUGAAUUAUAAUAAAAAGUCAGAAAAAAAAAGAUUAUUUGCAUCUGUCUUCAUAAUAUUAAUAACAAUAAUAGCUAUUAGUAUCUUUUUAGUGUCCAUAAACAGCAAAUCCUACAAGAGGCAAAUUUUUGCCAGACAUCACUGGCAUCCAGCAGAACACUGAACAAAAACUCCCUGCUAGAUGAGGCCCAACUGGAUUCACCUGGUGUUGGAAUUCUCUUCAAGUUCUUAAAGGGAUGUACACAGAGAUUAUCAAAUAGAAAUGUCUUGACCUUUAGAAGGUAACAACAGACAUAGAAGAUUAAGAGCUGCUUCUUUGUUCACUGAAUUGUAAAUCACAGAUACCCACUACAAGGCACAAGCUUCCACACAGGAAAACAACAACAAAAACCCACAGAAGCUUAAAAUCUUUGUGUUCUGUGGAGCACUGCUGAGGAAACAACAUCUUGAGAAAGAAGGAAGGUCAUAAUGAAGCAGUGAGCAAGUGAUAGAAGGAUAUGAUGAUGAUUUGGGGGCUUUAAUUAUUCAGUCACACAUUUCAACUUGGUCCUCUGAAUUCUGCAUUGCAGAACUGCAUUGUUAGACCUCUGCACAGGAGAAUCACAUAGUCUAUUUCACUGCACACCAUGGUGGGGUAACAGCUGGACUCCAUGAACUCUGAGGUCUUUUCUAGCCUAACCAAUUCUAUGAUCUUUGCAUUUGGAUCUGCAAUCAUCAUGCCUAGAAAACUCAGGUGAAUGCACCAAAUUUAUGUUUCCUCAAGAGCUACAACCCCUGUGCCAAGAAACUGUCAAAUACUUUGAUACUUAUUCCAAGGUUUUAACCUUCCUUGCCAAAGCAAGAUAUAAAAGAAUAACAAGACUUCUACUCUAACACAAGGAUGAGAUUAAUUUAAACACUGGUUAACUACAGCAGAAAUCCAGAAGACAACCAAUAAAAGCCCCAACCACCUAACUGCCUGAAUUUGA